AAUUGUCUAAUCGGAAAAGUCUGAAACCCUAGAGAGAGAAAGAGAAUUCUGAGAGCGAGGUGCUCUCACACGCAUCGGGAAGAACUCAACGAUGUCGCACUUUGGAAGAUCGGGGCCGCCGGACAUCAGAGACACUUACUCUCUCCUCGUCCUCAACAUUACUUUCCGUACAACUGCGGACGAUUUGUUCCCCCUCUUUGAUAAGUAUGGGAAAGUGGUUGAUGUGUUUAUUCCGAAGGACCGAAGGACCGGAGAUUCGAGGGGGUUUGCAUUUGUUCGAUACAAGUAUCAAGAUGAGGCUCAAAAGGCUGUAGAAAAGCUAGAUGGAAGAGUUGUUGACGGCCGGGAAAUAAUGGUCCAAUUCGCUAAAUAUGGCCCCAAUGCUGAACGAAUUCACAAAGGGAGAAUCGAAGAACCUACUCAUCAACCCCGAGGAAGAUCUAGAAGCCGCAGUCCUCGUCCACGCUCACGGGACAGGGAUUACAGGAGGAGAAGCCGCAGUAGAAGUAGGGGUAGAAGUGAACGCGAACGUCACCGUGGUAGGGACAGGGAUUCUCGUUACCGAAGUCGGAGCAGGUCUCAAAGCCCAAACCGGAGCAGAAGCGAAAGCCCUAGUUAUCGCAGGGAUCGUGGAAGAGGCAAAUAUGAUGAUGAUGAGAGACGCAGACCGACCCGAUCUUACGAAAGCCCUUCACCUGUCCGUCGAAGUCCUAGUCCUCGGAGGAGUCCUUCCCCAGACAAAAGUCCUUAUAGGAGUGAAAGCCCUGGUGCUCGGAAUCACAAGGAAAGAUCUACUACUCCUAGAAGUGUAUCUCCUCGCGGUCGUCGUGAUUCCCGUAGCCGUUCUCCGAUUUCUGAGGCUGACGAAUAAUGAACUUGAAGAUUGCUGAGAAAAUGUUUUCGGUUGCUGAUUUGUCAGUGUUUAUCUUCUCAGUGACUCGAUCCAUUUUAUAUACCUGAGAUAAAUUUACCAAGUUUGUGUCCGUGAAAAGUCGUAGUUGCUGAUUGACAAGAUGCUGCUGUUUUUAGAUGAUACAGUAGCUGUCGAUGCUGCAGUGCUUUUAUUCGCUGUCGAUUUUUAUAUUGUUCGGAUGGUGCUGAACUAAGCUACGUUUACAUUCUGACUCGCAUCUUGAUUUAGGUAAGAGAACGAAGUAACACAUUCCAAUUCUCUCUUAAAAUCACAUUUGAAAGUUUAAUAUCUGUCUUCUUUGGGGAGAGUUAAUCACUAGUAAUCAGUCGACAUUUCUGGAGUUCGUGUAAUCUGUAACGGGUGCUGUUGUUGAGUUGAUGUGCUGUUGGCUGCUGACUUUUAGUUUCAGUUGCACCGGAGUCUGUGGUUGCGGUACUUUGCUGUUAGCCGUGAAACUGAUGCAGCUAUUCUUGAUGAAUCGUAUUUGUAGCUGUGUGGGCGAUUUAACCGUUUAGUCAGAGUUGCCGAUGUAGUUCUUUUGCCCGGCUGCAUUUUUUCGAUUGAUCGAUCGCCUUAUUGCAGAUUGAGAUCAGUCCAGGUUAUUAUUGCACUUUGAUUUCUAGCAUUGCAUUUGUUGGAAUUUUUCUUGAAAGAUAAGGCGAGUUCAUAGUUGUCGAAGGUGUUCAUUGUUAUGUGUUUGGCUUCAAUUUGAAGAUUAUCUCAAUAGUUUUGAGAAGAUAUUGACAUGUUAGAAUAUGCUCAUCUUUUGAAUUUGUGCU